GACGAACGCUGGCGGCGUGGAUUAGGCAUGCAAGUCGAACGGUAGGAUACCUUCGGGUAUCUGAGAGUGGCGAACGGGUGAGUAACACGUAGGUGAUCUACCCUCAAGAUUGGGACAACCCAGGGAAACUUGGGCUAAUACCGGAUGAAAGCAGCAGUGAUGUUGUUUGAAAGGUGGCGUAAGCUGCCGUUUGGGGAUGAGCCUGCGCUCUAUUAGUUAGUUGGCGGGGUAAAGGCCCACCAAGGCGAUGAUAGAUAGGCGGCCUUAACGGGUGGUCGCCCACACUGGGAUUGAGAUACGGCCCAGACUCCUACGGGAGGCAGCAGUCGAGAAUAGUCUACAAUGGCCGAAAGGCUGAUAGUGCGACGCCGCGUGAACGAAGAAGCCCUUCGGGUGUAAGUUACUUUUAUUAUGUGAGCAGUGCUUUCUAUGUGAACAGCAUGGGAGGAGAGAUAUUAGCAUAUGAAUAAGUCAACGGCUAACUACCGUGUCCA
rnacentral:rRNA from 1 species